rnacentral:rRNA from 1 species
AGAGCGAACGCUGGCGGCAGGCUUAACACAUGCAAGUCGAGCGGGCGUAGCAAUACGUCAGCGGCAGACGGGUGAGUAACGCGUGGGAACAUACCUUUUGGUUCGGAACAACACAGGGAAACUUGUGCUAAUACCGGAUAAGCCCUUACGGGGAAAGAUUUAUCGCCGAAAGAUUGGCCCGCGUCUGAUUAGCUAGUUGGUGAGGUAACGGCUCACCAAGGCGACGAUCAGUAGCUGGUCUGAGAGGAUGAUCAGCCACAUUGGGACUGAGACACGGCCCAAACUCCUACGGGAGGCAGCAGUGGGGAAUAUUGGACAAUGGGCGCAAGCCUGAUCCAGCCAUGCCGCGUGAGUGAUGAAGGCCCUAGGUUGUAAAGCUCUUUUGUGCGGAAGAUAAUGACGGUACCGCAAGAAUAAGCCCCGGCUAACUUCGCGCCAGCAGCCGC